rnacentral:rRNA from 1 species
AUUGAACGCUGGCGGCAUGCCUUACACAUGCAAGUCGAGCGAACCCUUCGGGGUGAGCGGCGGACGGGUGAGUAACGCGUGGGUAACCUGCCCUAUACACACGGAUAACGUACCGAAAGGUACGCUAAUACGGGAUAAAGUUGUUGGAUGGCAUCUUCUAACAAUCAAAGCUCCGGCGGUAUAGGAUGGACCCGCGUCUGAUUAGCUAGUUGGUGAGGUAAUGGCUUGCCAAGGCGACGAUCAGUAGCCGACCUGAGAGGGUGAUCGGCCACACUGGAACUGAGACACGGUCCAGACUCCUACGGGAGGCAGCAGUGGGGAAUAUUGCACAAUGGGCGAAAGCCUGAUGCAGCAACGCCGCGUGAGCGAUGAAGGUCUUCGGAUCGUAAAGCUCUGUCCUCAAGGAAGAUAAUGACGGUACUUGAGGAGGAAGCCCCGGCUAACUACGUGCCAGCCGCCGCCGUAACAC